UACGGAGGGUGCAAGCGUUAAUCAGAAUUACUGGGCGUAAAGCGCGCGAAGGCGGCUGGAUAAGUCGAUUGUGAAAGCCCCGGGCUCAACCUGGGAAUUGCAGUCGAGACUGUUCGGCUAGAGUGUGGGAGAGGGCAGUGGAAUUCCCGGUGUAGCGGUGAAAUGCGUAGAUAUCGGGAGGAACAUCAGUGGCGAAGGCGACUGCCUGGCCCAACACUGACGCUGAGGUGCGAAAGCGUGGGUAGCAAACAGG
rnacentral:rRNA from 1 species